rnacentral:rRNA from 1 species
AUAUAAGGGGGAGCAUCUGUAGGUGUACCUUGGGGCCUAUCAAUUAACGGAGGAAUCCCUAAGUGAACCUGCUGGCAUAUUUAUAAGAGGAAGAAAUCGUGGGUUUACCUGCGGUAAUUUAAUUAAACGAAGAAAUCAUCUUGCUGAUUAGCCUCUAAAAGAGUGAACUGGAAAUGUAAUAAAUUAACGGCAUGUUAAUUGUUUAUGUUGUGUUGCUAGGAAAGUGAGAUUUUGACAGAAUUUAUUUUGUUGAUUAAUUGCUUUUCUAACAGUAUAAUGUAUGCAUUAAUGCUGCAGUUGUUUAUAAUGUUAAAAACUUAAUUUAAAUUUACUAAUUUAACUUGUAACUUUUCGAAAGAAAAAUUAUAAUAAAUACAACUUUCAACAAUGGAUCUCUUGGCUCUUGCAUCGAUGAAGAACGUAGCGAAUUGCGAAAAUUGUUGCGAAACGCAGCACGUGAGUCAUCGAGUUUUUGAACGCACAUUGCACCUUUUCUUUAGAAAAGGUAUGCUUGUUUGAGCUUCAGUUUCCUAUUAUCAAAAUCAUAUUAUUCUUGAAUAUAUGUGAUUUUGGAGAUGAGCUAUUUGUAAUUAGCAGUAAUUUCUUGAAAUUAAUGCAAAUAUAAUGGCUUUAAAUGCAUAUGUAUCCUAAAAUGAUUAAAGCAUGUUGCUUUGUCAAUGAAAGUUUUCGGACUUUUAAAUAGGGAUAAAAGACAGAAGACAAUGUAUUAGACAGCAAUGUUUUUUACUGAGUUAGAAAUCUUUAAUCUUUAGCAAAAUUGAUAAAGUGAUUUUAGUCAGCAUUGAUAACACUUGUUAUUAAUAUAGGCAUAUGAUUUUACUUUAGUAAAAUAAACGCUGUUUAGAUCGAUUAGAUAAUUUAUUGUCGACAUUUUUCUAUUCAGAAACAAAUCAAUAGUCUGAACUCAAAUCAAGUAGGAUUACCCGCUGAAUUUAAGCUACAUUAAACCGCGAAGAAAAAAGGUACCCUAACCAAGGUACUUUCCCUGGGUCCAUGAAAUUUUGUAAGAACCUUUUGGGGAUCAUGGAUAAAUCAUCUAGUUUUAAAAUCUAAUUGUUGUGGAAUUAUCUGCAGUAAUUUAAUUUUACAAUUAUGUAACCUGGCUGAUAACCCCAAAAAGAGGGAACGGUAUUUUUAAAAAUUAACGGCUGGUUAAUUGUUUAAUUUGUGUUGCUAGGAAAGUGAAAUUUGACAGAAUUAUUUUGGUGAUAGAUGGCUUUCUAAAAUUAAAAGUAAGCCUAAAGGCUGCAUUUGUUUAUAAGGUUAAAACUUAAUUUAAUUUUCCCAUUUAACUUGGAACUUUCCAAAGAAAAAUU